rnacentral:rRNA from 1 species
UACGUAGGCAGCGAGCGUUGUUCGGAAUUACUGGGCGUAAAGAGUGUGUAGGCGGUGCUCCCAGUCUGUUGUGAAAUCUCCCGGCUUAACUGGGAGGGUGCAGCGGAAACUAGAGUGCUAGAGGGUGGGAGAGGUAAGCGGAAAUUCCUGGUGUGCGGUGAAAUGCGUAGAUAUCAGGAGGAACACCUGUGGUGUAGACAGCUUACUGGACCACUUCUGACGCUGAGACACGAAAGCGUGGGUAGCAAACAGG